GGCUAUGGCGAGAUAUCCUACUGGGACAAGCGCUACGCUGAGCAACCCGAUGCUUUGGUUCUCGGAUUACUCCAGAUUCGAGACGAUUGUCCGUAAGCACAUCCCCGAAUCUUCCCGGGUUUUGAUGGCUGGGUGUGGCAAUUCAGCAAUGUCAACGAUAUGGUGGAAGAUGGCUACCGGGAAAUCGUCAACACUGAUCUAUCUUCGAUGGUGAUUGACAACUUCAAAGCUAGAUAUGCUCACGUUCCUCAGCUCUCUUAUGUGGCAAUAGAUUCACGGGACAUGAGUGCGUUUCAAGACUGUUCCUUUGAUGCGGUCAUUGACAAAGGCCUGGCCGGCGCCAUGCUAGAACGUGUUUGUGUCACCAAAAAUAUCCUUGUCUAAUGCAAUUUGCGUUCCUUCUUUCAGUGUGGAGUUGAUCCGGCCGAAGGCGUUCUACAAAUGCGAAGAGAGACUUACAGGAUUUUGAAACCACAAGGAGUGUUUAUGCUGAUCACAUACGGCCACCCUGAAAUACGAAUGCCGGCGUUGCUGGAACCAGGAUUGAAAUGGUCCAUCCUUGUAUACGCCUUGGCCAAGCCUGCCACUGAGAAAGCCGUAAUGGAAACUAUUAAGGGAGUAACUCCAGAUUCACUGCCCAUUGACGAGCGCAACUAGUCUCUCGGCUUGGAAGAUUUUGGGGGUGACAAAGGUAUAUGCUCAAAACCGCAGAUAAGUAAUAUAUUUAAUUAACUUU